ensembl:lncRNA
GGGUGAGUAAGUGACGUCACAGCUGUCAUUUUGAUUGAACCGUUCCUUUAAUCAAGUGCAUUGAUGUCAGUUUAGACUUGAGAUUCUCCCAGAUCUUAAAUCUGAUGAGCGUGCAGACAUUAGCAUUUGUAGAGAAACUAUGCCUCCAUUAAUUCAGAAGUAGGCAUCUCUUCCACACUUAAAUAUCAGCGUCUAAGUCUGUCUGCAAAGCCGGUUGUUUGUUCAGAGUAAAGAGCAUCUGUGGUGUUACCGCAGCUCUAACGGAGUCCCUGGCAACCACAGCGGCCCAACCUGACCCGGACCGCUUCAUAGAGGAUCAGGAAACAGGCGGACGGACUGUGAUGAUGGAUGGAUCUCUCCAGGGCACAAUGGAUGAGAAGAUUGAUAGAUGGGAAAUGCAGAUGGAGGGCCACACAGAGGCGGAUGUGAGCUGUUCGCUCUGGGACAAAGUGAGAGUGAUGAAGGUGGGGGUUUGAAAGACAUUGACAGAGACAUAGAUGUCAUUCAAUAGAUGAGUGUGUGAGAUUGUCACAGAAUUGGAUAUAGUGGAAAGAUGUUGUGAAUUAAUGUGAAGCAAAAAGGCAGUGUUCACAGUGAUUUUAUCAUGUUGAAAGGGUAUAGUUAGUCACGACACAAAGCAGAGACAGAAUACAUUAAAUAUGAUAUGAUAUGAUAUGAUAUGAUAUGAUAUGAUAUGAUAUGGAACUGAUUUUUACAAAAGGUUUUGAGCUUAUUCAAUUAGAUUUUUGAGCUGCUUAUUGUUUGGAUAUUCUAACGAGCCUGAAAUGGUUAGCAAAUCCUCCAACUUUGUCUCGGCUACUAGAAACAGACAACAAUAGUGUCAUUUCAGACAGGAAACCAAUCUCUCAGUGUCUCAUCUCUCCGCCAGGAAAGACUACAAAUUACUACUGUUAGUCAUGUAGGCUGCAAGCCAAGUGCACACAGGUUCAUUGGCCUCAUAUGCAAUCACUGGAUCACCUGCUGGAAUUCAGGCCUGUUUUUUCCAGCACAACAAAAGAGCUCUGUUUGCAGAAACUCUCCGCUCUGAUACAACUUAUGUAAGAAAUGAGGGACAGACAGUAAGAGGC